GUUCUUAUANUUGAAAUACAACNAUGAUUUUUCAUGUCAUUAGUCA
rnacentral:tRNA from 1 species